rnacentral:tRNA from 1 species
GCCUAGGUGGCUCAAUAGGUUAAGUGUCUGACUUAGGCUCAGGCCAUGAUCUCAUGGUUUGUGAGUUCAAGCCCCACCUAGGGCU